rnacentral:tRNA from 1 species
GCCAGUGUGGUGUAGUGGUUUGAAUGUUGGACUACGACUCUGCAGAUCAGGGUUCAAAUCCUGGCUCAGACA